rnacentral:rRNA from 1 species
GAUUAACGCUAGCGGCAGGCCUAAUACAUGCAAGUCGAACGGGAUUUCGGGUAGCAAUAUCUGAAUGAGAGUGGCGCACGGGUGCGUAACACGUAUGCAAUCUGCCUCUGACUGGGGAAUAGCCUUCCGAAAGGAAGAUUAAUACCGCAUAAAAUAAUGAAGUGGCAUCACUUUAUUAUCAAAACUCUGGUGGUCAGAGAUGAGCAUGCGUCCGAUUAGCUAGUUGGCGAGGUAACGGCUCACCAAGGCGACGAUCGGUAGGGGGUCUGAGAGGAUGAUCCCCCACACUGGUACUGAGACACGGACCAGACUCCCACGGGAGGCAGCAGUAAGGAAUAUUGGACAAUGGUCGCAAGACUGAUCCAGCCAUGCCGCGUGAAGGAUGAAUGCCCUAUGGGUUGUAAACUUCUUUUAAACGGGAAAAAACCCCUCUACGUGUAGGGGGCUGAUGGUACCGUAAGAAUAAGGAUCGGCUAACUUCGUGCCAGCAGCCGCAGUAACAC